rnacentral:rRNA from 1 species
GAUGAACGCUGGCGGCGUGCCUAAUACAUGCAAGUCGAGCGAACGGACGAGAAGCUUGCUUCUCUGAUGUUAGCGGCGGACGGGUGAGUAACACGUGGAUAACCUACCUAUAAGACUGGGAUAACUUCGGGAAACCGGAGCUAAUACCGGAUAAUAUUUUGAACCGCAUGGUUCAAAAGUGAAAGACGGUCUUGCUGUCACUUAUAGAUGGAUCCGCGCUGCAUUAGCUAGUUGGUAAGGUAACGGCUUACCAAGGCAACGAUGCAUAGCCGACCUGAGAGGGUGAUAGGCGACACUGGAACUGAGACGCGGUCCAGACUACUACGGGAGGCAGCAGUAGGGAAUCUUCCGCAAUGGGCGAAAGCCUGACGGAGCAACGCCGCGUGAGUGAUGAAGGUCUUCGGAUCGUAAAACUCUGUUAUUAGGGAAGAACAUAUGUGUAAGUAACUGUGCACAUCUUGACGGUACCUAAUCAGAAAGCCACGGCUAACUACGUG